rnacentral:rRNA from 1 species
UGGGGAAUAUUGCACAAUGGGCGCAAGCCUGAUGCAGCCAUGCCGCGUGUAUGAAGAAGGCCUUCGGGUUGUAAAGUACUUUCAGCGAGGAGGAAGGCGUUGUGGUUAAUAACCGCAACGAUUGACGUUACUCGCAGAAGAAGCACCGGCUAACUCCGUGCCAGCAGCCGCGGUAAUACGGAGGGUGCAAGCGUUAAUCGGAAUUACUGGGCGUAAAGCGCACGCAGGCGGUCUGUCAAGUCGGAUGUGAAAUCCCCGGGCUCAACCUGGGAACUGCAUCCGAAACUGGCAGGCUAGAGUCUUGUAGAGGGGGGUAGAAUCCCAGGUGUAGCGGUGAAAUGCGUAGAGAUCUGGAGGAAUACCGGUGGCGAAGGCGGCCCCCUGGACAAAGACUGACGCUCAGGUGCGAAAGCGUGGGGAGCAAACA